GACGAACGCUGGCGGCGUGCUUAACACAUGCAAGUCGAACGGAAAGGCCCUGCUUUUGUGGGGUGCUCGAGUGGCGAACGGGUGAGUAACACGUGGGUAACCUGCCCUUGACUUUGGGAUAACUUCAGGAAACUGGGGCUAAUCCCGGAUAGGAGCUCCUGCUGCAUGGUGGGGGUUGGAAAGUUUCGGCGGUUGGGGAUGGACUCGCGGCUUAUCAGCUUGUUGGUGGGGUAGUGGCUUACCAAGGCUUUGACGGGUAGCCGGCCUGAGAGGGUGACCGGCCACAUUGGGACUGAGAUACGGCCCAGACUCCUACGGGAGGCAGCAGUGGGGAAUAUUGCACAAUGGGCGGAAGCCUGAUGCAGCAACGCCGCGUGCGGGAUGACGGCCUUCGGGUUGUAAACCGCUUUCGCCUGUGACGAAGCGUGAGUGACGGUAAUGGGUAAAGAAGCACCGGCUAACUACGUG
rnacentral:rRNA from 1 species